CAAUUUAUUAAAUUAUAACAAAUAUGUCUCACUUUUAUCAAUGAUAAGUGUCAUGGUUCUGGAUUGGUGGAGGAGACGCUAGCCUGGGUUCGGGUCUGGACGCUGGCGCGCCCCAAAGAGAGUGGCAUAUCCCGUUUCUUAAAGCUUCGCUCGCCGAUACUCCUGUGGAAGAAAGUGAAAAUGAAAAACAUCUCUAGUCUUACAAUAAUAUAUAAAAGUAAUUCUUAUAUUCAGAUAUGGGGGGAAAGGGAUUGUUAACAAUGGAGUUUGACAGCCCCAUUGCUAGCAAUAUGCCCUAUUAGAUCGACCUCCACGUGGUUCCCCCUGGUUAACCGUUUCAUUACCACCCGUUAAAAAAAAUAUUCAGAUAUAUAUUCAUUAUUUAUAUUAUUGCUUGGAUUACAUCUCCAUAUGCAUUUAAAAUAGAAUUCUCAUCGUGCCUCCAAUCAAACUGUUUAUAAUUACUCCUCUCCAUCCAAAGGUCGCCCAUUGUUUUUUCACUGUGAUCAUUUCUUGUAAUUGUUUGUAUCUAUAAUAAGUUUACUAUUGUAAUCUUUUGAAGGAAAUAAUAAAGAGUAUUCUGAUCUAUUUGAUUUAUUGUAACAAAUUAAAAUUUUGUUUUUUAACCGGCUUCAAAAAGAAGGAAGAAUAUGAUCGUAUUUUUAUGUACUCAUACCAUAUGAACCGUUAACUAUCCACUGCUGAAUAUAGGCCACUCAUUUGGGAGGGUUUGUCAAUAGUUACCACGCUUUGCAGGCGGCUUGGCAACCGCUGUUAGGCUUUGGUGAUGUUUUAAAAGGGAUGCUGCUAUUUAUCUCUCGACCUUGUUCCUUUGGUCGCCGUCUAUGACACCUAUUAAAAAAGAAGAGGUGGCAUAUUCUAUGCCGGGAUAAUAUGGCAAAUUUACUCAUGUAUAUGAUAAAAGAACAACACUUUAGGCGAUUCUGGUAUGGCUGGCGAUUUUAGUAGCAUUUUUUUUUAAUUCAUAGAGUUUACUCCCGAAUCAGUCUCAUAUUAAUUUUGUUACACCAUUAGAAAAUACAUGGCUGUAUACCUACAUUUAUAAUAUAGAUUAAUAUUUCUUUUUUACCACAGACAAUAAUAAAAAAGCAAACUGUUAAAAAAUUCAUUGACCACAGAUUAAAUUUAAACCUAUCCAGAACAUAAAACUGUUUUGUAAUGUACAUAUAUAUAUAUUAUAUAUAUUCUACUAAAGGUUUGCCAAAGAAAAAUAUUCCAUUACUUUAACUGUUGAACUGCAAGCAAUACUGUAAACGAUGUUAAUAGUUUGAACUGAAAUUAAUUGGUUGACUAGCGAUGAAAGGAACAGUUAAACGUGUAAUAAAUUGACUAUUACUUGAGUAACUAUCGCUAUAAAACACUUAACCGUAAGUUUCAAUUUCACGUAUCUGAUGUUUUUUUUUUAAUACUCACGAAUAUAGCAAUUAUAUUUUUUUAUAAAUAAAAAGAAUUACUAUUGCAUGUUGACGUUUUUAUUUCUCUAUGUCUGAUAUUUGACCGUGUGGUCCCGGCAUAGAAUAGGCUUCUUACUUUCCUGUAGGUGUUGUAAGAGGUGACUAAGAAGGGCGAGGGAUGGGCAGCAGUGUCCCUCUUAAAAUAUCUCUAAAGCCUAAAUGCGGUUGUCAAUCCGCCUGUCAAGAGUGGCAACUAUUGACAAAACCCCCGAAGGGUGACUGUGUUCAACAGUGGAUAGUUAAAAGCUGAUGUGAUGAUGAUGAUGAUGAUGAUAAUGAUGAUGUGUGAUAUUGAAAAAGGGUAAAGGAAUUAUAUUUUACGUGAAUGUACUCGGAUAUACGUAGAAGAAUAGUAAAGGACAGAAAUAUGAUUUUCUGUCCUAUAAAUAUUUUUUUUAUUUUUAUUUUAUUUUAUUUUAUAAAUAUUACGUAUUAAAAAGGUUAAGAUAUCAUAAAUUUUACACAAUGUAAGAUUUGUUUAUCUGCGUUUUAUCAUUGACUUGAGUUAUUAUUAUAUUUUAUUGAUAUAAUACUGUGAGUUGAUAAAUCGUUUUGAAUUUUUUUUCUAUUGUCUUCAUAAUUUGUAAAUUACAUUUUUUUUUUAUUAAAUGUAUAUUAUAGUAUAAUGGGCGAAACAGUAUACUCUGUUAUGUCCAUGGUAGUGCUCAUGUCUCUAGGCGACGGUUACCACUUUUCAUCAAGUGGGCCGUCAGCUUGUUUGCCAUUCUAAGUUGUAUAAAAAACAAAAUGUAUUUAUGUUGUGUUAAUUUUGGAUAUUAACAAACACUUUUAAGCCAUUUUAAAAAAAAAGAUCUCAUUUUUUUCAAAUUGUUUAGUUUAACGAUUCUGUAUAAGUCCUAAAUAAGUCAGUAGUCAUUCAGCUAGCCAAAUUGUUGCCUAAGUACGGACCUGGUUUCUGCCCGCCUGUCUGACCCUCUUGACAAGUGGCAAGCGAAUCCAUCGAUGGAAAUGUUGUCGAAAACGAGUUCAUAAGUUUAAAUGAGACAUCCGACAAUGUUAUCUCAUUCUACCCAACAGAUUCGCUAGUGAUGUCGAUUCCGUCGAUGAAUUCUUUUGCCACUUGUUUAGAGAACUAGACCAGUAAGAUUAAUUAGUUGACUAUCUUGAACUAAGACUCAAUAAACCUUGAACUAAGGGUUUCGAGCGACUAGAGUAAAAUGUUAUAAAAAUACUGCAUAAAAGUAAAUAAAUGACUUUGGUGUGUGGUAGAAAUUUAA